rnacentral:rRNA from 1 species
GAUGAACGCUGGCGGCGUGCCUAAUACAUGCAAGUCGAGCGAACAGACGAGGAGCUUGCUCCUCUGACGUUAGCGGCGGACGGGUGGGUAACACGUGGAUAACCUACCUAUAAGACUGGGAUAACUUCGGGAAACCGGAGCUAAUACCGGAUAAUAUAUUGAACCGCAUGGUUCAAUAGUGAAAGACGGUUUUGCUGUCACUUAUAGAUGGAUCCGCGCCGCAUUAGCUAGUUGGUAAGGUAACGGCUUACCAAGGCGACGAUGCGAAGCCGACCUGAGAGGGUGAUCGGCCACACUGGAACUGAGACACGGUCCAGACUCCUACGGGAGGCAGCAGUAGGGAAUCUUCCGCAAUGGGCGAAAGCCUGACGGAGCAACGCCGCGUGAGUGAUGAAGGUCUUCGGAUCGUAAAACUCUGUUAUUAGGGAAGAACAAAUGUGUAAGUAACUAUGCACGUCUUGACGGUACCUAAUCAGAAAGCCACGGCUAACUACGUG